rnacentral:rRNA from 1 species
GUGGGGAAUCUUCCGCAAUGGACGAAAGUCUGACGGAGCAACGCCGCGUGAGUGAAGAAGGUUUUCGGAUCGUAAAGCUCUUUCGUUAGGGACGAACGUGCUCUUUGUGAAUAAUGAGGAGUAAUGACGGUACCUAAAUAAGAAGCCACGGCUAACUACGUGCCAGCAGCCGCGGUAAUACGUAGGUGGCAAGCGUUGUCCGGAAUUAUUGGGCGUAAAGCGCGCGCAGGCGGGAUACCAAGUCUGUCUUAAAAGUGCGAGGCUCAACCUCGUGAGGGGACAGAAACUGGUAUUCUUGAGUGUCGGAGAGGAAAGUGGAAUUCCAAGUGUAGCGGUGAAAUGCGUAGAGAUUUGGAAGAACACCAGUGGCGAAGGCGACUUUCUGGACGAUGUCUGACGCUGAGGCGCGAAAGCUAGGGGAGCGAACGGGAUUAGAUACCCCAGUAGUCC